ACCCAGCCAAACGGCUGAGUGAAUGAAUAGUUGGGCUAUUAGAGUGUGAAACUGUUACAAUGCGGCACAAAGUUGGAAGGGGUUCGGCUGUUUGGUAGAUGGCGUUCAAAGUCGCUGGAUAAUUUCAUGCCAAGUUAAUCAGACAACUCGUUGGUGCCUCUGGAGAUGCACGCGAUACAAAGGAAAACCGAAGAAGCGAUCGAGAAGUUGAAAUGGAACUUAAAAGGAAGCGAAAUAGGGGUGGAAGAUAAACAACCCUGAAUUAAAAGUAUCUCGACGCUUUAUCAAUUGGAGUAGGUACCGUAGUAUAUGCUGCGAAGGUCGCAGUACCUUCGGUGAGGACGGAAGAUGCAACAAAGAGGGUGCACGCGAAACAAGCCUGGAAAAAUGAACAAAGACGAACGCAACAGUUGUGAAUCUCAUAGCGUGGCGCCGACGAUUGCCACUUCAGGAUUCCGCGGAAGACGAGAAAAAAUGGUCUAAGACGUUUUAUUUGAACUUCAUAUUUUUAUAAAUCAUACCACUGGUACGCGAUGUCCAGCCCUUCCGUCGAGUUCAUCCCAUCUGCAAAAUAAAGUUAAAAAUGAAACUGUUCGUUAGCUUGAACAAGCAUCCCUUUAUUUAAGUUUCCAACCUCAGUCGAAAAUGAAACCAGAGAUAAAAAUAUAACCUAAGGUAGUAUGGAGAUGGAAAUAAUUUUUCUUAAUGAUUGUGACAGAUAAGUUCUUGUUGGUUAAAAUGAAUUAGACAUAUUUUUGUUUUGAAUAAAGUUUAGCGUCACAUCAACUGCAUCUAAUUGUAAAUCAGUC